GACGAACGCUGGCGGCGUGCUUAACACAUGCAAGUCGAGCGGUAAGGCCCUUUCGGGGGUACACGAGCGGCGAACGGGUGAGUAACACGUGGGUGACCUGCCCUCAGCUCUGGGAUAAGCCCGGGAAACUGGGUCUAAUACUGGAUAUGACUCCAUGACGCAUGUUGUGGGGUGGAAAGCCUUGUGCGGCUGAGGAUGGGCCCGCGGCCUAUCAGCUUGUUGGUGGGGNGAUGGCCUACCAAGGCGACGACGGGUAGCCGGCCUGAGAGGGCGACCGGGCCACACUGGGACUGAGACACGGCCCAGACUCCUACGGGAGGCAGCAGUGGGGAAUCUUGCGCAAUGGGCGAAAGCCUGACGCAGCGACGCCGCGUGAGGGAUGACGGCCU
rnacentral:rRNA from 1 species